GGGAAGACCCAACUUACUCGGGGACCAGCAGGACCAGAAGCUCCAGAAGGACCUUGUUCACCAGGAGAGCCCUGACGCACAGAGACAAAGACAGUUCAGGCCCAGUGCGGGUCCAGUGCAGGCUUGGGACAGGGCAGGGGACCCAGAGGGCAGGGUGGGCAGCCCACCCCUCUCCCUACUGGGGAAAUCUUGCCCCAGCCUCCUCAUAGGCUGAGCCUCUCUUCCAAUCCUCUCUCAGAAGCUACUCGGAAAUGGCCAUAAACCUUUAGUCCCCAGUCCCCAUGACGGAGGAUCCAGAGUGGCUCUUCAGAGGGGAAACUGAGGCAGGUGUCUACUGUCCACCGCCCCCGCCCCCACCGUCACCCAGCACAGCAUGGGGAGAUGACAAAGAAGGUGCAGUGGCAGAGGACCUGAGAGCCCGAGCAUACUCACAGGAGGACCGGGGGACCCUGGAGACCAGAGAAGCCGCGUGUGACCCUUGAUGCCUCUGUCACCCUGUUCGCCUGUCUCACCCUUGUCACCACGGGGGCCUUGGGGUCCCUGGAAGAGAUGGGAGUGUGAUCCACACCGGGUGAGGGUUUUGAGGUCAGGGGUUGGUGUGGGCCACUUACAGCAGGGCCACGGGCACCAGCAGGGCCGAUGGGACCAGCAGGACCAGCAGGACCCUGGGGAGAGCAGAGAGAGUAGUUGACCCUGGCCGAGGCAGCCCACCGUGUCCAUGUCCCCCCAUGUGGCCGCUUCUCCUGACCCCCUAUAAACUUCCCACGGGGCCGGUUCCUGUCACCAGGGAGAGGGGCCUUGGAUGAGGGUCCUGAGGCCGAGCUCUGAUUUUCCAAGGAGGCCGAGGAUGCAGAUGUCCCACAAACUUCUGCUCUCUCCUCUCCCUGCCUGGCCGAUGUCGCCAUCUGUCCCCAGAAUCCCUGGCCUGAGCCGAGCCCGCCCACUUACAGUCUCACCACGAUCGCUCACUCUUGCCAGCAGGGCCGACCGGGGCCAGGGGCGCCAGGGGCACCAGGAGCACCAGGGGGUCCAGCAGGGCCGGUUUCCCCAC
rnacentral:lncRNA from 1 species